UACGUAGGGGGCUAGCGUUGUCCGGAAUCAUUGGGCGUAAAGCGCACGUAGGCGGGUUGUUAAGUCGGGGGUGAAAUCCUGGAGCUCAACUCCAGAACUGCCUUCGAUACUGGCGACCUUGAGUCCGGGAGAGGUGAGUGGAACUCCGAGUGUAGAGGUGAAAUUCGUAGAUAUUCGGAAGAACACCAGUGGCGAAGGCGGCUCACUGGCCCGGUACUGACGCUGAGGUGCGAAAGCGUGGGGAGCAAACAGG
rnacentral:rRNA from 1 species